CAAAUCAAAAGUAACCAACAAAGCGGGUUUCAGUCGCCAUUCUGUGACGUAAUAAUCCAACCAAAAGAAUUAUACAGUGGGUAUCAGUAAGAUCUAAGGAACAUUUUGAACCCAAAAUUUCAGGUUGCCACCAGCUUAAGGAUUACCAGCACAUAGCACACCUGCAAAGAUUAUAUUAUCAUAACAAGAUUUUUAUUCUAGGAGAUUUCCAAUUUGUAUAUAGCAUUAUCUAGUUAAUUUCACUGUGAACUGGUCAUUCAUGGUAUUAAAAACAGCUUGUUGGCUUCAACAGGCAACAGUUCGAUUGAAUUUCUUUCCUAAAUGUAAAACCGAAUGGUGCAAUAUGCCAAUGCAAGUGAUGAUUUGAUGAGAUGAAAUACAUGGUUGUCCUUGUUCAUAACACAAUAAUCAGUCAUAUGAUCAUUUAGUUCUUCAAACAACUAACUGUUAUCCUACAAAAUAGACGCGACAAUGGCUAAUGGCAUCCCUUUACCUACAAGAAUAACAAUUUAAGCUAUGUGAAAGUGUUGAAAGAUCCGAAAGAAUAAAUUAUUCUUUAUUGUUUAAAUAUAGUUUCUUAAUUAUUGUAUAGGUAAAUAUGGUUUAUAAAGAAAGAACUGCAAAGUUAAAGCCAUACCUUUAUUUGUGGUAAUUUCCCCUUGUUGGUUAAAAGUAGGCCCUCAACUUUUAUUUCAGUUCUUUCACAAACUUUUAUUGUACUGUUUGUAGAUUUAUGUAAUCUGUUGUCCUUUCUUCUUUUCUAAAAUGUGAUUUUCUUGCUUUUAGUUGCAAACACUGUCUGUAUGAUCAUCUUGACUCAAGAGUGAUAAGUUUGUGAAUGGGGUUUCUUUAUUACCGUAUGCCUGUAUCUUUAUUUGCAUUACCUUCACUAUCAAUUCUCCUCAAGCUUUCUCCCUUUACUGCAUCCAAAUGCACUGCAUUGCGUUUCCCGUUUUUGACAUACUGUUGAUAUAAAAUUUCACUGAAAAUAAACUUGUAUGUACAAUGUAGUUUGUUUUCUCAUAUACUACUCUACCACUUUAUUAUAUUUUCAGGAAAGCAACAUUCAUAAUAAACAACUAUUAACUGAUACAUCUAUAAGAAUAAAUUGAUAAAAAUUCUUACAGAAUCUCAAAUAACCAAUCAAUUGAAAACGUUCAUCAAUGACUGUUAUUUGAAAUCCAGUAAAAUACAAACAUUGCAAAUAUUUUUCUGGUGCUAGCAAAGAAUCCUUUCGUUAUUUGCUAUCUAUUAACCCAUAACUACCAACCUCUAACACUUCCCACCAGCCUAAUGUGUAACGUAUCGGAGGAUUCUUUACUAGUGUCCACCUUCCCUCUACCAUAAAAUGCAAUAUUAAUAUAAAUAUUGGGUGUCUGGACAAUACUAGUACAAAUAAUUUAAACUUUUCAGGGCGUUUUUAAUCAUAUGUAAACUUUUUGAUUGAAUUAAAUGAUUUUUUAACCUUUAAAAAGUAUUAUUCUUAACUAGAAUAAAUCACCAAUAGAUAAAUUUCAAAUAACUGACUGGAAGAGGCCGGAUUAUGGCAACACCUUGCUAAACUAUGUUAGGAGUUAAAAGUUUCUCACGUAAAUCGUCAGUAAGAAUUGGGUCAAACGUUGCUUUUGAAAACGCAAAAGCUUAAACUUACAUAAAUACAGACUCAGUAAAAUAAAAGCUGCCCUAGAUUAACUUUUUGUUUAGAUUAAAUUAGUUUUUCCUGCCUAAAACCAACCCAGAUAAUACAUUAGAAAUAUGCGAUAAUAGACAAGUGGGUCACAUACGAUUCAAAAUGACACGCUUCAAUUGGCUUCAAUUUCACAUUGGUUGAAAACACAAGAUGCGCAAUCUAGUUAUAUAUAUGAUACCUAUGGGUGGCACCAGUAGAAGGUAUCGAAAAUGGCCUCUCUAAUAUCUGUAUUCUAGGAUCACCUUGGUAGUGAUUUAUAUUUACAAAAUAAGCAAAUCUGAUUGAAAAUUCAAAAUUUAAAAAAAUUAGGACUAUUUUGCCUGACCACUUUUUAUGAUAAUUUGUACUAAAGUUGAUGGGUAAAAAAUAUAUAUAUAUAUUUCGUUUUAAAUGAGAUUUGAUGUUGUAUUCAGCAGGAAUAGGACCUAUAGGAUAUUCAAGUGAGGAAACUUUACUUCCUUUCAAUGAAAAUUGAGCAAAUCAUCCUGAUGACAUUUCGAACUAUGUUUAAUGUUUCAAGGCUUUUUUAAAAUGUUAUUUAUUUUGUUAUUGAAUUUGUGUUUUCUAGAGCCUCA